GAUGAACGCUGGCGGCGUGCUUACCACAUGCAAGUCGAACGGAAAGGCCCAAGCUUGCUUGGGUACUCGAGUGGCGAACGGGUGAGUAACACGUGGGUGAUCUGCCCUGCACUUCGGGAUAAGCCUGGGAAACUGGGUCUAAUACCGGAUAGGACCACAUUUUGGAUGGUGUGGUGGAAAGUUUUUCGGUGUGGGAUGAGCUCGCGGCCUAUCAGCUUGUUGGUGGGGUAAUGGCCUACCAAGGCGUCGACGGGUAGCCGGCCUGAGAGGGUGUACGGCCACAUUGGGACUGAGAUACGGCCCAGACUCCUACGGGAGGCAGCAGUGGGGAAUAUUGCACAAUGGGCGCAAGCCUGAUGCAGCGACGCCGCGUGGGGGAUGACGGCCUUCGGGCUGUAAACUCCUUUCGCUAGGGACGAAGCGUUAUGUGACGGUACCUGGAGAAGAAGCACCGGCUAACUACGUG
rnacentral:rRNA from 1 species